AGGCUUUUCGUACAGUGGAAGUAUAAUGGUCUCCAAAACCAUGGACGGGGGUUCGAUUCCCUCAGAGUCUG
rnacentral:tRNA from 1 species